rnacentral:lncRNA from 1 species
CCAUGCCAUUGUACGUGUCCUACCUAAGAGCACUGAGUGUGGGGUGAAGGCCUUAAAAACACUUAACCCACCCUCCCCGUCCCCCCUGUCUCCCUCGUCCCCCUAAUAAAUUCACUUUAAAUAUAUGAAUUUGGGGGCCUCACCCAAUUUAGACAUCAUUUUCUAUUUUUUGAAGAAAAAUUCUUGAGGUGCUUCCACCAAAACAGAUUUCCAUCUCUCCUAGGAGGAAAUCAUAGGCACUUGAAGUAUACAACAAAAUAGUACAGAAGACAUAAACCAAUUCAAAAUAUG